UCCCCGUUGCCCCUCCCUCAGCAAACAGUCAGCACUCAGCACCCUCAGUCGCUCACGGCCUCACCUCACUCCGCCGCCGCCGCCGCCGCCAUCCCUCAAUCUAGCGUCCUAGCUGCCACCACGCUCAUCCCUCUCCUUCCCCGUCGACCAGCUUGACCCCGUCCUCCUGUAGCCCUCCCAUUUUGUUCCCCACAACCUUCUCUCCAUCGCUCCUCAGUCCUGGUGCCGCUCGUAGCCGCCGUCGCGGCUAUGACCAAGGGCUGGGUCCAAAGGGUGCAGCAGGAUGAUGAGGAGGAGGAGACGACUCGCUUGAAUCGUACAGCUUCAGCUUCAAUGAAGAUUGGCAAGCGUGUCUGGAGAAAAUGGACUCGCAGGUCAUCAGAUGCAUACUUUCUUGGAGCAAUCAAUUGAGUUUUGGAUGAGCAAGUAAAGCUUACUUGGUAUCUUGAAAAAAAGAGUUGCAAGACACUCCAAAGCAAGAGGGACUAUGAUCUACUGAAGAGCUUGAAGACCUUUUCAUCUUAUGGCUCAGGAGCAAGAAAUGAGGCCUAUGAGCAUUGUGUGAUAUUUCCACUGAAUUCUGUGGUGUCAUUAGAGCCUAUGCUGAGUAAUUUGUAGUCUUCGUUGUAAGAUUUAUUUUGAAUUCAAAUAUAAAAUAAAAAAUAAUUCAUUUGUUGGGCUGCAAGCCUAGAAUGGGCAAAAUUCAAUGCGUAUUCAGAAAUUUCAA